rnacentral:sRNA from 1 species
CUGAGGGAGCGUCUUGGUGAGUUCCUGGGUGAAGAUGCUAUUGCAGAAAAAUUUUUAUUUCUGAAAUGCAUUGGAAAUAAUUUAGCUGUGGUGAAGGAAAAGCAAGAAUCAGAACUGAAACUCAAAUCAUUUGCUCCUCCAUAUGCUCUUCAACCAGAAUUAUAUUUGCUUCCUGUAAUGGACCAUUUAGGAAAUGUUUUUUCACCAUCAUCAACAGUUAUUUUAGAUGAGCGGCAGACUAAUAAUGGUGUUAAUGAGGGUGAUGGAACAAUCCACAGACCAAUUAGUGUAACUUUGUUCAAGGAGGAACCUGGAAGAGAUCCCAGUUUGUUAGAAAACACUUUGAAAGAGCUUCCUAACAAGAAUCAGGAAGAAGAAAUGAAGACACAUACAGACUCUUAAAGCCUCAUAUAUUAAAAUAUAAACAUUUCAUAUCAAUAAAUAUAGAUCUGUGUCAUUA